CUAUAGCUCCAAUACCUCAAUACAAUGAAUAUGCGGCUCUUAAAAAACCCAAAGGAUAUCUUCUGCUAGAAAAAGAUUGUGAAAACCAAAGGACAAUAUAUCACUGAAAGCUUCCCCACAAUCAAGCCAAAAAUAUUUGAAUUAGUAAGUUACUUCUGAUCAAGCAAGA